CAGAGAAUCUGCCUCCGGGCAAUCUCCCACCCUUUGUUUAUCAUACCUUUGUUGCUUUGGCAGGCCCGCCCUAGGGCCACCGGCUCCGGCUGGUCAGUGCCUGCCAAAGACCCCAAAACUCAUGUUUAAUUGUCGUCUGAGUACUAUAUAAUAGUUA
rnacentral:misc_RNA from 1 species